rnacentral:rRNA from 1 species
UAUUAGAGGAAGUAAAAGUCGUCACAAGGUUUCCGUAGGUGAACCAGCGGAAGGAUCAUUAGCGAAGCUCGGAAYGCAUGUACGGUGUUGAUGCUGCCCAGCAAUGGGAUGUGCUCGCUCGGAUGUGUGUCCCUUCUCUAUUCCACCCCAUUGUGAACCAAGUGUGCGAGCCGAAGAGAGAUCGGAGGCUCGCAUGCAAACCCUUAACAUACCCCAAUGAAGUAUCAGAAUGUACCUUGCGUUAACUCGCACAAAUAUAACUUUCAACAACGGAUCUCUUGGCUCUCGCAUCGAUGAAGAACGCAGCGAAAUGCGAUAAGUAAUGUGAAUUGCAGAAUUCAGUGAAUCAUCGAAUCUUUGAACGCACCUUGCGCCCCUUGGCAUUCCGAGGGGCACGCCUGUUUGAGUGUCGUGAACUCCUCCACCCUCUACCUUUUACGAAGGGCAUUGGGCUGGGAUUUGGGAGCAUGCGGGUCCCUGGCCGAUCCGCUCUCCUUGAAUGCAUUAGCGAAGCCCUUGCGGCCUUGGUGUGAUAAUCAUCUACGCCUCGGUUUAGCGAACAUACGGGAAUCGCUUACAGCCGUCUCGCAAGAGACAACGACUACCAACUUGACCUCAAAUCAGGCGGGACUACCCGCUGAACUUAAGCAUAUCAAUAAGCGGAGGAACAGANACUAACAAGGAUNCCCCUAGUAACUGCGAGUGAAGCGGGAUGAGCUCAAAUUUAAAAUCUGGCGUCUUCGGCGUCCGAGUUGUAAUUUAGAGAAGUGUUUUCCGCGCCGGACCGUGUACAAGUCUCCUGGAACGGAGCGUCAUAGAGGGUGAGAAUCCCGUCUUUGACACGGACCCCCGGUGCUCUGUGAUACGCUCUCGAAGAGUCGAGUUGUUUGGGAAUGCAGCUCAAAAUGGGUGGUGAACUCCAUCUAAAGCUAAAUAUUGGCGAGAGACCGAUAGCGAACAAGUACCGUGAGGGAAAGAUGAAAAGCACUUUGGAAAGAGAGUGAAACAGUACGUGAAAUUGUUGAAAGGGAAACGCUUGAAGUCAGUCGCGUCCGCCGGAGCUCAGCCGCAAGGUGUACUCUCUGGUGGACGGGCCAGCAUCACUUUCGAUCAUCGGAAAAGGGCGAGGGGAAUGUGGCACCUCCGGGUGUGUUAUAGCCCUUUGUCGUAUACGGUGACCGGGAGUGAGGACCGCCUUUUGUAGGAUGCUGGCGUAAUGGCUUUAAACGACCCGUCUUGAAACACGGACCAAGGAGUCUAACAUGCCCGCGAGUGUUCGGGUGGAAAACCCGUGCGCGUAAUGAAAGUGAAAGUUGGGAAGGCUGUCGCGGCCUGCACCGACGCCCGGACUUGAGAUUUAUCGAAGGUUCUGCGGUAGAGCGUGUAUGUUGGGACCCGAAAGAUGGUGAACUAUGCCUGAAUAGGGUGAAGCCAGAGGAAACUCUGGUGGAGGCUCGUAGCGAUUCUGACGUGCAAAUCGAUCGUCAAAUUUGGGUAUAGGGGCGAAAGACUAAUCGAACCAUCUAGUAGCUGGUUCCUGCCGAAGUAUCCCUCAGGAUAGCAGAAACUCAUGUCAGAUUUAUGUGGUAAAGCGAAUGAUUAGAGGCCUUGGGGUUGAAACAACCUUAACCUAUUCUCAAACUUUAAAUAUGUAAGAACGAGCCGUCACUUGAUUGGACCGCUCGGCGAUUGAGAGUUUCUAGUGGGCCAUUUUUGGUAAGCAGAACUGGCGAUGCGGGAUGAACCGAACNGGAGGUUAAGGUGCCGGAAUCUACGCUCAUCAGACACCACNAAAGGUGUUAGUACAUCUAGACAGCAGGAUGGUGGCCAUGGAAGUCGGAAUCCGCUAAGGAGUGUGUAACNACUCACCUGCCGAAAUGAACUAGCCCUGAAAAAUGGAUGGCGCUCNAGCGUAUACCCAUACCCUCCCCNUGGGCGUUGAAGUGACGCGCCCAGGAGUAGGCAGGCGUGAGGNUUGUGANNAGCCUUGGCAGUGAUGCUGGGUGAAC